CCCCAGAAACCAUCCACAAUUGUACACUACUAGUUUCCUGACACAAUGCAUACCUAGUCUCGCAUGCUCCAUCUCCCCAUCAUUUACUCCAUCUUCUGCGCCAUCUUGUAUCAUUAACUUCAGCAUAGUCAAUAGAAUCAGUAGGCUAAAACUAUUCAUCCUAUCAUAGUUUGGAUUUCAUAUCUCACAAGCUUCAUCCAGGAGCUCCUUCAAACCAUUCGAUGAUCAAAAAGUAUGGGCCCAAACAAAGUUUGCUCCUGCCUAUGGAGUUUUCCUUGUAAAUCAAACAUUUGAUCGGUAUCGUGUAAUUGGAAUCUCUCGGAGUUCACGUCUAAUGCACAGAUAUUCACCUAGUAAAGCCAUCACUGCAAGUCCAGUACCAUU
rnacentral:misc_RNA from 1 species